GAUUCGGUGGUGAAAUGGUAUCAUACGCGCUUGCCAACAGACAAGCAAUUCUGCGCGUGCUCCGGGUUCGAUUCCCGGCCGAUUCA
rnacentral:tRNA from 1 species